GCUGACGAGUGGCGGACGGGUGAGUAAUGUCUGGGAAACUGCCUGAUGGAGGGGGAUAACUACUGGAAACGGUAGCUAAUACCGCAUAACGUCGCAAGACCAAAGAGGGGGACCUUCGGGCCUCUUGCCAUCGGAUGUGCCCAGAUGGGAUUAGCUAGUAGGUGGGGUAACGGCUCACCUAGGCGACGAUCCCUAGCUGGUCUGAGAGGAUGACCAGCCACA
rnacentral:rRNA from 1 species